UAAAGAUUACGAAUAAUUAAAGCUGCUAACUUUGAUUAGGGGAUAUUGUUCUCCGUCUUUAAC
rnacentral:tRNA from 1 species